rnacentral:rRNA from 1 species
UACAGAGUCUCAAGCGUGUUCGGAAUGACUGGGCGUAAAGGGCGCGUAGGCGGAUGGCACAGUCAGAUGUGAAAUUCCUGGGCUCAACCUGGGGACUGCGCUUGAGACGUGUGGGCUUGAGUGGGGAAGAGGGUCGUGGAAUUCCCAGUGUAGAGGUGAAAUUCGUAGAUAUUGGGAAGAACACCGGUGGCGAAGGCGGCGACCUGGUCCUUGACUGACGCUGAGGCGCGAAAGCGUGGGGAGCAAACAGG